GUCUACGGCCAUACCACCCUGAACGAGCCUGAUCUCGUCUGAUCUCGGAAGCUAAGCAGGGUCGGGCCUGGUUAAUACUUGGAUGGGAGACCAUGACAGAGGACAGAAAAAAUUGAUGAAC
ensembl:rRNA 5S_rRNA 5S ribosomal RNA